UCGCGUGUGCCGCUGUUGCUGUCCAUCCCUCAACGCGUGCGACUCGCAGCGGCUUGUACGGGCCCUGGAUACGAUCUCUUAGCGCCGCUUCUCCGUCUCUGAAACACCGACAACGAAGCUGGCGCACGGCUGCGAGGGCAACAACGAGAAAGAAAAACUGACGGAUGAUGCACCGUCUCUCGCGCCGCCGUCUUGCCACGUCUAUUGGCGGCUUCUCGUCCGCCGCCUUCACCGGAGACGACGGCGGCGCCUACGAGAGACGCAAGAGUGAGCAGGAGCGGCUGAAGCGCGAUCAUCAGCAGGAGGGCACGGGGGCGCAGGAACAGCAACCCCACAACGGUGGAGGUGAUGCCCAGCACGCAGGCACACCUGUGUCCGCCUCGAUGUCAUCAUCGUCCUUCUGGGAGGAGACGUGCUCCCCAAGUGGCUUUCACGGCACAAAGGGCAGCAGCAGUGGCAGCGGCAACGCCGCCUAUGCUGCUGAAGCCAAUGCGCCCCUUGCCCGACCGACGAUCGACACCUACCGCGCCAUGACAGACAGCGAGCUUGUCGAAACGCUGCGGACCCGCGACGAGCAGAUUCGCCAACUGCGUGCUAUCUACGAGAGCUUCCACUACGACGCGGACAGGCGCUUUCGAAAAAUGAUCUUCGACUACCACGACAAGACGAUGCAGCUGUCGCAGGUGCACGGACGCAUGCAGCAGGCCUCGCUGCAGAUCAACCGCGAGGCCCUUUCGAAGAUGCGUGAUCAGCAGGAUAUGAUGACACGCGACAAGCGCAUCAUCUUCACCAUCUGCACGCUAUGGACGCUUAUCUUCUGGGUGUGGGUGCGCCGUCACUAUGUGAAGCGGCGUGAGCUGGAGUUGGAGCCGCUGGAUGGGCGGGAGUGGGCGCAGAUGAGCCCCUCCAUCACCGGCGCUGGCAGCUACAACGAGAACGUUUUUGGCAGCAACAAACGCAAUGCGCGUUUUACUGAGACGGCGUGGGAGCGUGAACUGCGCGAGCGCCGCGAGGCGCAAAACUUGCGAGAGCAGCAGGUCGCCCUUCUUCGGAACCAGAUGGAGCUGCAGAAAGCCGUGGCAACACAGCGGGAGCAGCAGCAAGCGUGUGAUAGUGACUCUUGAUGCAUGCGAGAGGAGGAGGAGGGAGGGAUGUGCAUGACGAUAAUGCGCGAGUACGUGAGGAGCUCUUUUUGUACAUUUCUCACACGCCUCCGCCUCGUCUUAUUUCUCCGUGGUCGAUGUUACGGGCGGUCCUCUAGCUCUACCCCCCGCGGCCCUUCUCCAGCCGAUGUGCGUGCGUCUGCCUGUGCGCGCAUUACAGAUCCGCAGCACGCGGGGCGAGAAGGAAAGAACAACAAGUGGAGGCAAGAGAGGUCACGAAGCGCACGCACGCGUGCGGGAAAGGAUAGUUGUAUCGAUUGGGGCCCAGCGUCCCUCGCCCCGGCGGAGAUGAAGGCCGAGGGAGGAUGGAGGGGCGUCUCGAUCUGCAGUAUGACGCUCCACUCUCGUUUUUUUUACGUCGCGCGUACUUUUCAGGAUGCUUGGGCGCGUGUGCUCACUGCUGCGGUGCAGAUGUGUGUAGCUUUUGCUUCCCUUCUCCUGACAUUGCUCCAUGCACACACAC
rnacentral:misc_RNA from 1 species